rnacentral:lncRNA from 1 species
GCCUCAACAACUUUUGGGAUGAGAUCAAUGCAUUCAUAGAAGAAGACCACGUCGAAACUUGAUAAAUCUUCCCAACAAAAACUUGAUUUGCUGGCUCGAUAAGGGAUCUCGAAUCCUGAGAUGAUUGUUGCAAUGGCAUCUGUAGUCCAGAGUUGAAAGGGGAGAUUGAACAAUGAUGCAUAGAUCUUCCAAUUGGGGCAUCUUGAAAUUUUCGAGCAACGGCUCUUGCAUGAUCUUAUCAUCUAAAGAUGGUUC